UUGCCCAAGAUACAGUUGAAAAACGUGUUUUACAUGAGUCAUUUAACCGGAAUAAUCUUCCUUUGGAUUACUGGAGUCAUUAGGGGGAAAAAAAUACAAAAUCAUGUUGAGCUUUCAGUGGCCAAUGAGAGACCUUCCAGAAGUCUCUUCCCUCCAGAAAGGCAACCAGAAAUUAUCAAAAUAGCAGUUGCUCCAUCAGCCUGAGAACUUGAGUGAUUAUGAGGACAAAGUUCAUGGCUCACUGUGAUGAACUCUACCUGAGGGAAAAAGUUAAAAGAUGAAGAAACAGGAUAAGCAACUGGCUUAACUAGGAAGUUGCUGUGCAGGGAUUCAGAUAAAGUGCUCUCUUUACACUAGAGUGUCUGUCUCAGAGAAAUAUGCA